UACGGGGGGAGCGAGCGUUGUUCGGAAUCACUGGGCGUAAAGGGCGUGUAGGCGGUCUGGUAAGUGGGAUGUGAAAGCCCCGGGCUCACCCCGGGAGGGUCAUCUCAAACUGCUAGGCUUGAGUACAGGAGAGGGUGGGGGAAUUCCAGGUGUAGCGGUGAAAUGCGUAGAUAUCUGGAGGAACACCGGUGGCGAAGGCGCCCACCUGGCCUGCUACUGACGCUGAGGCGCGAAAGCUAGGGGAGCAAACGGG
rnacentral:rRNA from 1 species